UACGUAGGGACCGAGCGUUGUCCGGAAUCAUUGGGCGUAAAGAGCGUGUAGGCGGCCACUUAAGUCCUGCGUGAAAUCUUGCGGCUCAACCGCAAGCAGUCGUGGGAAACUGGGUGGCUAGAGUGCGGGAGAGGAGAGUGGAAUUCCUGGUGUAGCGGUGGAAUGCGCAGAUAUCAGGAAGAACACCCGUGGCGAAGGCGGCUCUCUGGAACGCAACUGACGCUGAGACGCGAAAGCGUGGGGAGCAAACAGG
rnacentral:rRNA from 1 species